ACAACGUGAACGGGAGUCUGCUAAUUGCAACUGCGCGGAAGUGCCUGAUCCCACCAAAGGAGGAGAAGUACGCAACUCAAGCCAUCAACUGGCUUAUGGAUUACAUAUCAGGUUGAACAGGUCUACGUGAGUUGAGCAGAAAAAAACGAAUGGCAUCAUCAACGCUACGGUGUUCGACACAUGUGACGUCACUACAAUCGGC